rnacentral:lncRNA from 10 species
CUAGGAAAGGGAACUCCCUGACCCCUUGCGCUUCCCUAGUGAGGCAAUGCCUCGCCCUGCUUCGGCUUGCGCACGGUGCGCGCACCCACUGACCUGCGCCCACUGUCUGGCACUCCCUAGUGAGAUGAACCCGGUACCUCAGAUGGAAAUGCAGAAAUCACCUGUCUUCUGCGACGCUCACACUGGGAGCUGUAGACCGGAGCUGUUCCUAUUCGGCCAUCUUGGCUCCUCCCCAGGAAAAAAUUUCUUAAAGUUGUUUUCUCCACUUUUCUGGCCUCUUGCCCAACAAAAUGGUGAACAAGACUCCACCUACUUCAAGGAUUGGGAGAAUAGAGAGUGGAAUGGGAACAACUGGUCUAUCAAUGAGAAGAAAGUGCCAACUGAAAACUUUUAGAAAAUACCCAGUUUACUCAAGGAAAAUAACAUGCAUUGAAGGUGAUUGCUCAAUAGAGAGAAGUUGAAACAGCAGACUAAUUGCCUGUUUGUGACACCCAUGUAAUCAACUUGGUCUGUUCUAGAUUAACAUUGCUAUGGUUUGAAUAUGUCCCCUCCAAAAGUUAUGUUGAAACUUAAUACCCAUUGUGGCGGUAUUAAGAGGAGGGCCUUUGGGGAAGUGAUUACGUCAUGAGGGCUCUGCCCUCAUGAAUGGAUUAAAAUCCUCAUAGAAGAAGCUUCAGAGAGAGCUUUGUCAUUUUUGCCCUUUCACCUUUGGCCAUGUGAGGACGCAGCAAAGAAGCCCUCGUCAGAUACCGACUGCUGGUUCCUUGACCUUGGACUUUCCAGCCUCCAGAACUGUGAGAAAUAAAUUUUUGUGGUUUACAAAUUACCA